rnacentral:rRNA from 2 species
AGAGUUUGAUCCUGGCUCAGAACGUACGCUGGCGGCACGCCUAACACAUGCAAGUCGAACGAAGUAGCAAUACUUAGUGGCAGACGGGUGAGUAACAUGUAGGUAUCUGCCCUUUGGCCUGGAAUAACACGAGGAAACUUGUGCUAAUACCGGAUAAGUCUUUACGGAGAAAGCUUUAUGCACCAUUGGAUGAGCCUGCACUUGAUUAGUUUGUUGGUGGGGUAAUGGCCUACCAAGACUAUGAUCAAUAGCUGAUUUGAGAGGAUGAUCAGCCACAUUGGGACUGAGACACGGCCCAAACUCCUACGGGAGGCAGCAGUGGGGAAUCUUGCACAAUGGAGGAAACUCUGAUGCAGCGAUGCCGCGUGAGUGAAGAAGGCCCUUGGGUUGUAAAGCUCUUUCGUCGGGGAAGAAAAUGACUGUACCCGAAUAAGAAGGUCCGGCUAACUUCGUGCCAGCAGCCGCGGUAAUACGAAGGGACCUAGCGUAGUUCGGAAUUACUGGGCUUAAAGAGUUCGUAGGUGGUUGAAAAAGUUGGUGGUGAAAUCCCAGAGCUUAACUCUGGAACUGCCAUCAAAACUUUUCAGCUAGAGUAUGAUAGAGGAAAGCAGAAUUUCUAGUGUAGAGGUGAAAUUCGUAGAUAUUAGAAAGAAUACCAAUUGCGAAGGCAGCUUUCUGGAUCAUUACUGACACUGAGGAACGAAAGCAUGGGUAGCGAAGAGGAUUAGAUACCCUCGUAGUCCAUGCCGUAAACGAUGUGUGUUAGACGUUGGAAAUUUAUUUUCAGUGUCGCAGCGAAAGCGAUAAACACACCGCCUGGGGAGUACGACCGCAAGGUUAAAACUCAAAUGAAUUGACGGGGACCCGCACAAGUAGUGGAGCAUGUGGUUUAAUUCGAAGAUACGCGCAGAACCUUACCAACACUUGACAUGUUCGUCGCGACUCUAAGAGAUUAGAGUUUUCGGUUCGGCCGGACGAAACACAGGUGCUGCAUGGCUGUCGUCAGCUCGUGUCGUGAGAUGUUGGGUUAAGUCCCGCAACGAGCGCAACCCUCACUUUUAGUUGCCAUCAUUAAGUUGGGCACUCUGAAAGAACUGCCAGUGAUAAGCUGGAGGAAGGUGGGGAUGACGUCAAGUCCUCAUGGCCCUUACGUGUUGGGCUACACACGUGCUACAAUGGUAUCUACAACAGGAAGCAAGACUGCGAAGUUAAGCAAAUCCCUAAAAGAUACCUCAGUUCGGAUUGCACUCUGCAACUCGAGUGCAUGAAGCUGGAAUUACUAGUAAUCGCGGAUCAGCGCGCCGCGGUGAAUACGUUCCCGGGUCUUGUACACACCGCCCGUCACACCAUGGAAGUUGGUUACACCUUAAGGCAAAUCGUCAACCUUCGGGAGACAUUUGACUACGGUACGAUCAGCAACUGGGGUGAAGUCGUAACAAGGUAACC